rnacentral:lncRNA from 1 species
CACAGUCACUGUUCUCAGGACUACAAGAAGUGGGGGAGAUAAUGCAACUACAUAAUCACAAACAACAUCGUCCUCAAGCAAACCGGGAGUACUCACGGCAGCCCCGAGGCUGAACCCGGGCUGAGGGUCGGGCGGGGGAUGGAGAGUCGUAAAGGAGGAGGGUUCAGGGAAGAAGAUUCCUGAACUAAGUGCUGAAAAAGUGAUUCCAAAGUGGUUUGUGUGGCAGGAGACAUUCCAGGCAGAGAAAACAGCAGCAGCAAAGGCCUGAGGCAGGAGAAAGCCCAUGGUGGGCAAGAAGCUUUGAAGGUCAGCACCGCUCAGCAGUUUGCAGAAGGAAGCAGGAAAAGAACACGGAUGUGUGCUAGUUAGGACAGCAAGAGCCAUGAUGAGUUCCAAAAGGAGUCUGGACUUUUUGAAAUAGGUGAUGGAGAGAUACUCAAUUGUUUUUAAGAGGGACAGGUUUUUUCUUUUGUGACUUGACUGUUUUAUUAUUAAUUAUUAUUAUUUCAGAAAGAACACUCUUGUCACACAGAGAGUUCUCACUUCCGGAUGGGUAUGAGAAUGAACUGUGGAAUUUUUUAAACAAUGCACCUGGCUGGAUACCACUCGAGGUGUGCUAAGUCAGAACCCCAUGGUGCAGAACUGAGUGAUUUCUCAUCCGAGCAAGGAACGAGGCCCCUGGAGCUGCGCAGAUGUGAGGGGAGUGAGAGGAGACCGCAGAGUGAGGUAUCCUCCUGACAUGCUCUGCUACCCAUCUGCCAGCUGAUGAUAUUAGGCCAGCUGGGGCCAGCCGAUGGUGGAGUCACAAGAUGGACACAUCACAGGUCCCUGAGUGGCCACCCAGAGGACAGCGACUGUGAAGAGGAUGCUGAGGGGAGUUGCAUGUGUGAGUUAGAAUUCAUCUCCGUGGCCAAAGUGAAACACCACUUACUAGAUGGCAAGAUCCAAAUAUAUCUCCAGUGUAACUCGAUUCGCACUGAAAAGGCUCCAACAAUUCCGAAGAUACUUCAGAGCUUGGACUGUCCCUGUCCUGAAAAUCAACAUAGAUCCUCUUUCUUCUCCUGGCUGCUUUUACUCCAAAUUAACUCCAUGUUGGAUUUAUACGUAUAUUUGUUUGUAUUUUCAAAUGCAUUUCUCACUUCCUAAAAUGCUUUGGAUAGAAACCAUGGCACCUCAGCCUGUAGCUGUGGUAUUGGUUUCAUAUCUAGAGAGCUUCCAGAUUCCACGUGUCCUCAUGCAGUAGCACAGUAGGCCAAGGGAGGUCAUUUUACAUCCAUGGAAACCAAAGCUCAGAAAGCUUAGGGCUCCUCCAGGGUGACCUAAUUGGUACUUUCUUUCAUGGAAAAUAUUUUAAUGAGCACCUUCUACACGCAAGGUUUUGUAGUUACAAUGGACACGGGGUUCUAAUGUUGAAAAAGACAGAGGUCGCCCC